rnacentral:lncRNA from 1 species
AUGUUGUUCCUAUUUUUAAAACAAUGGUCUCCUUGGCAACUGUGUUUAACUCACAGGAUUUGUUCUGCUCCAGCUAGCCAGAGCAACUUAAAAGAAACAAACACCUUGAAACAGAACAAGCCUGUCAAGAGCUUUCUGGAUCCUGACUCUCUCCUCCAGCUUAUAAUUGGUCCCACAGCCUCCAUGAAAUGAAUCUGGGCAAGUCAAGCUUAAUGGACAAUAGGGGGCAAGGAAAAGAUGUAUGACUCCUGUUGACAAUAUUGCUAUCAGUACAGAAGAGAUGCUAUUAACUUUCAUAUUUGCAGCCAAUACCCUGAGCUCCUCCAGAGUAAGGUUGGGCUUCUCCUUUUCCUUGUAUCCCCUGUGCUUAGUUAGCAUUGUGCCUGGCCCUACAAGACACCCACUGACUGACUUACACAAACUUUAGAUGGGAAAGCCAAAAUUCAAGUCUUUUCACCCUGAAAUGAAUACAAGACAUCUGUUCUGAGUAACUUCCAUCUGGAAUACUGUAGCCCUCAUUUCCCGUUUGCAUACGUGAUAUUAGUGUAAUUGAAACUGGUUUAGAAACAGAAAAGGAAGAAAAAUAAUACUUGCUUCAUUUGGUCCACAGAAAAUUGCAUUGUCUUUUGAUUUCCACCCUUGAAUGGAAGUAGUUAUGGUGCCACACACAAGAGAAAUGUCAUCUUAAAAAUUACACGCUAAUAUCAGUUAGCACUGUGAUGUUAGUAGCAAUUAACCUUAAAAGCAACAAUUUUUUUAAUAUGGUGUCUCUCCAUUAACUCAUCCCUUUUUAUAAACAAUUACAUGAUACAUUCUCAUGAAAAGCAUAUAUAUUCAAUAAUAAAUAUUUAACUUGAAGAUCA